GACGAACGCUGGCGGCGUGCUUAACACAUGCAAGUCGAACGAUGAAGCCCAGCUUGCUGGGCGGAUUAGUGGCGAACGGGUGAGUAACACGUGAGUAACCUGCCCUUGACUCUGGGAUAAGCGCUGGAAACGGCGUCUAAUACCGGAUACGACCUGCCCCGGCAUCGGGUGCGGGUGGAAAGUUUUUCGGUCAAGGAUGGACUCGCGGCCUAUCAGGUAGUUGGUGAGGUAAUGGCUCACCAAGCCGACGACGGGUAGCCGGCCUGAGAGGGUGACCGGCCACACUGGGACUGAGACACGGCCCAGACUCCUACGGGAGGCAGCAGUGGGGAAUAUUGCACAAUGGGCGAAAGCCUGAUGCAGCAACGCCGCGUGGGGGAUGACGGCCUUCGGGUUGUAAACCUCUUUUAGUAGGGAAGAAGGGCUUCGGCUUGACGGUACCUGCAGAAAAAGCACCGGCUAACUACGUGCCAGCAGCCGCGGUAAUACGUAGGGUGCAAGCGUUGUCCGGAAUUAUUGGGCGUAAAGAGCUCGUAGGCGGUUUGUCGCGUCUGCUGUGAAAACCCGAGGCUCAACCUCGGGCCUGCAGUGGGUACGGGCAGACUAGAGUGCGGUAGGGGAGAAUGGAAUUCCUGGUGUAGCGGUGGAAUGCGCAGAUAUCAGGAGGAACACCGAUGGCGAAGGCAGUUCUCUGGGCCGUUACUGACGCUGAGGAGCGAAAGCGUGGGGAGCGAACAGGAUUAGAUACCCUGGUAGUCCACGCCGUAAACGUUGGGAACUAGAUGUGGGGACCUUUCCACGGUCUCCGUGUCGCAGCUAACGCAUUAAGUUCCCCGCCUGGGGAGUACGGCCGCAAGGCUAAAACUCAAAGGAAUUGACGGGGGCCCGCACAAGCGGCGGAGCAUGCGGAUUAAUUCGAUGCAACGCGAAGAACCUUACCAAGGCUUGACAUAUACCGGAAACUUCCAGAAAUGGUUGCCCCGCAAGGUCGGUAUACAGGUGGUGCAUGGUUGUCGUCAGCUCGUGUCGUGAGAUGUUGGGUUAAGUCCCGCAACGAGCGCAACCCUCGUUCUAUGUUGCCAGCACGUCAUGGUGGGAACUCAUAGGAGACUGCCGGGGUCAACUCGGAGGAAGGUGGGGAUGACGUCAAAUCAUCAUGCCCCUUAUGUCUUGGGCUUCACGCAUGCUACAAUGGCCGGUACAAAGGGCUGCGAUACCGUAAGGUGGAGCGAAUCCCAAAAAGCCGGUCUCAGUUCGGAUUGAGGUCUGCAACUCGACCUCAUGAAGUCGGAGUCGCUAGUAAUCGCAGAUCAGCAACGCUGCGGUGAAUACGUUCCCGGGCCU
rnacentral:rRNA from 1 species